rnacentral:lncRNA from 1 species
CCAGGCUAAUUUUGCUGUGUUGUUUCAGGUCUCCAGCUGAGCCAGCCCAGGCUGGAACUGCCUCAGCCCGAUGCUGCUACAGAAAAGGAAAAAUAUUGGAAGUCUUCAAACUGUGAUACUUAGAAAGAAAAUGCAAAUAUGAGAUCAAGCAGAGGCUUCUGCAGAUCUCCGUACCUCACACGGAUAAGGAGCAGCAACACGCGCCCAAGUGUCUGAAGGGCUCUGCAAGGCGGACGAAACACGCCGUACCAAGACCUCUCCUCAGGGAGCUAUCUGCCCCAGAACCCACUCAACUUUUUUAAUUCUCACUCUAAAACCCGUCAGGCAACACAACGAGGG